AAUCAACGCUGGCGGCGUGCCUAACACAUGCAAGUCGAACGAGAAAGUGGAGCAAUCCAUGAGUAAAGUGGCGCACGGGUGAGUAACACGUGACUAACCUACCCUUGAGUGGGGGAUAACCUAGGGAAACCUGGGCUAAUACCGCAUAAUACCUACGGGUCAAAGGAGCAAUUCGCUUUAGGAGGGGGUCGCGGCAGAUUAGUUAGUUGGCGGGGUAAUGGCCCACCAAGACGAUGAUCNGUAUCCGGCCUGAGAGGGCGCACGGACACACUGGAACUGAAACACGGUCCAGACUCCUACGGGAGGCAGCAGUGGGGAAUUUUGCGCAAUGGGGAAACCCGUGACGCAGCAACGCCGCGUGGAGGAUGAAGACCCUUGGGUCGUAAACUCCUUUCGAUC
rnacentral:rRNA from 1 species